rnacentral:lncRNA from 1 species
AUAUUCAUGGAUUCCUAAAUGUUUAUUCCCAUUCUGCAAAAUCCUGUCCUUCAUUGGUAUCAUUGCCUAUUAUAAUAGCCUUAUACAAAACUAUACAGAUAACUGGAUAUCAAUGUCCAUCACUUUGGAAGCAUGCUUUGAUGUAAUAACAAGAAUUUUCUGAUAUGUAUGCAUGCAUAUCCUGUCUAUUGUAAAUUCCAUUUAUUCUUUAAAGUUAUCCUCCAAAUGGGAUUUCUUAAAACUGGGACUUAUCUUCCGUGUGCUUUCAGUUGCCAUGAGAAGCCAUUCUCUCCGUUGUACUGAAGGCAAUAAAGUAAUGUUUACCCUUUACUCCACUAAUAAAGGGGUAAGUUCCUAGCUUGUCUUUUUCUGUUUGUGUUUGUGAUAGUGGGUAUAACACUAACUGUUAAUCAUCAAAAUCUGAAUGUAAGUCUCUGCAGUCAUUUGUGGGCAAUUCCAUAUGGUCCUUUUCCUGUGGGUCUUUUUGUUAAAUUUUGAUAUUUUGUUACCUUUAUGAUUGGUUUGGUUGCAAGAUCAUUGGAUCUGAAGGUUUGCCUAAUUUUUAGUUAUAUAAUUGCAUGUCUUGAUGAUCAUACUUUUCAUCUUAAAAAUGUAUUCUUGUACUUUUAUAUCUCUGUUUUUACUUUCUUUGAUAUUUUCUGGUUUUUUUCUCUUUUCUUGUAUUGUAUCUAUCAAAUGUGUUAUUCCAACAUUAUAUGAUUUAGUGUUGCGUUUGUAUGAAUUUACCAGGUCAGUGAUGAUGGUAAGUCUACUCCAUCGUUGUUUGGCUGGUGUAGUAGCUAUUAGUGUAGAUCAGAUUGUAAGGAGGGAAGUUUGUUAGAGUUGGAUGUCUAUAUAAUAUAUAGAGAGCAUAGAGGCUAUGUCCUCCAUUUCUAACCACGAGUUUUAUCUAUUGAGAAUCACAUUACUACUUUGAGAAUAGGAGAGAAAGCUUAAUUCCUCAAGCCAAUCUAGAUCAACACAGUCAUAGAUGAUAAAGUUACUUAUACAUGAUGUAUUUUUUUUGGUGUGGCUUAUACAUGAUGCAUGAUCUGUAGUGUUUUAUAAUCCUAUACGCCUUUUCAGACUAAAUCUUACACGGUCUUGUUUGGAGGUCAAAAGGAGCUCAAAAGUAUAGGAGACAUCUAUUAAUGGGUUAAACAACAGAUCUAAUUGAGGGUUUGACACCACAGCCAAAACUUUAACACAAGGAGUCUGUGAAUCUUUUACCUGUGGUCCUCUCAACCCAUUUUGGAGUUUAGACCAAUAUGGAACUUCAUUACUCGCACUCUAUUUUCCAACAUUACUCCUCCCCCCCUCUCUUUUGGUUAUUGUUUUUGCUUCCAUAUAUUCCUAUAAUAUAAAGCUUUGAAGGUGCUAAGUGAAUACGUAAUUAUGUAUUAAGUGGCAACAUGGCAUUUGUGCUUAUAUGCAAAAUACUUUUAACUUUUUUCUGAAUCGCUCAUGGAUAGGUAGCUCAAAGAAGGUUGAGUGUGGUGGUGAACAUGAUGCAUUUUCUAUCUUAUGGUCCUUGACUCUGUGUUGCAUAUUAGUAUGCAGAGUCCCACCUGAACCUCUUAUAUUCUUACUGAAAAUGUUAGUGCAAAAUGUCAUUACUUAAAGCGACAUAUUGUGGCUGCUGCAACUUUUAUUAUGGCUGAUCAGCACAAAAUUUUGUGCAAUAACUGAGUGUUUCAGCGUGAUUUUCAGUCUGGGGUUCUAUUGACAAUCUUACAUAGACAUUGCUUUGCAACACGUUUAUAUUUUCCACUGGGCGCAACACUGUCUAUAGUAGUAUAUAAAAUACUGCAAUAUUCCCAACAAGUUACUUAAAUCUAAUUUCACUGUUUUGUUGAUAAAUGAUUCAUGUAUUUUUUCAUAAUAAUUCUUAUUUUGUAAAAGCAAUAGAUAUGCCAAGUUACCAACACUUAUCAGUCACCUUGGAGGAAGUGAUCUCUUUUCAUCUGAAAAGAAUUUUGCCUCACACUUUGUAUCAUGUGAGCCACUGUAAUUGUAUAGGCUCGCCUCUUCUAGAUAGUCAGGGCAUUGAAACUGAAAUAUAGUUUAUCCAGUGGCACGUUUAGGGUGAAAAAUGCUAAUUGAUUAGUGGUUUCUGUUUCUGUUUGUAUAUCAUCUUUAUAACAAAAAAAAUUAAUACUAUUUCCCUAUAGUACUACCUUCCUCAGCAGGGCAGAAUCUUGUGGAAUUUGAGUGAACUUUGAUUCUGAAAUGCCAUAACUUCCCUUUAGAAUACAACAAAUUCCCAUCACACAAGAACUCCCAUGAAAACCAUUUUUCUAUCAUACGAUCUACAUCAUGUACUACUACAUCUGAAGUAUUUCCAGAUCUAGCUAGUACACUAGCAGUGUAAAUGGACCCCAUCCUUCCUGGUGACUCUGGUGAAUCCCCAUUGGGACCAUCUACCACCAUGACAUCCCAUUUCUUCUCAUACACUUGCGAUGGCAAGUUUUUCAAUGCAAGCUUGCAUUUUGAUUUUUGAAGGAAUCUAGGAUUUGGUACACAUGUCGCUGGGUUCAGCCUUGCGUUCUUGAGAAGUUUGUAACCUGCUUUUGCUGGCAUGUUAUACUCAAGUUUGUAUAUUUGAGUGUUGUUGGAGAUUUUUCUUACCUUGCUUAUUUUAUCAGGGUCUUCGUCGAGAAAGAUGGUGCUACCAGCUGCAUUCAUGGAAGAGAGGAUAAGGUACUGGGGUUGAAAGCCAAAUAUGAGGAGGUUGCAUGGG